rnacentral:rRNA from 1 species
AUUGAACGCUGGCGGCAUGCUUUACACAUGCAAGUCGAGCGGCAGCGCGGGGGCAACCCUGGCGGCGAGCGGCGAACGGGUGAGUAAUGCAUCGGAACGUACCCUGGAGUGGGGGAUAACGCCGCGAAAGCGGCGCUAAUACCGCAUAUGCUCUGAGGAGGAAAGCAGGGGAUCACAAGACCUUGCGCUCUGGGAGCGGCCGAUGUCGGAUUAGCUAGUAGGUGAGGUAAAGGCUCACCUAGGCGACGAUCCGUAGCUGGUCUGAGAGGACGACCAGCCACACUGGAACUGAGACACGGUCCAGACUCCUACGGGAGGCAGCAGUGGGGAAUUUUGGACAAUGGGCGCAAGCCUGAUCCAGCCAUGCCGCGUGAGUGAAGAAGGCCU